UUUUAAUUAAUAAAUGUUUAAUUUGUUUUUCUGUUUGUUCCUCAUCAAAUUUGAGAAGGAACAAUUUUCUUCUACGAUUCCUCAAAAAAUAAGGAAUGAUUAGGAAUAGUGUGGGGUCUACAUGUUACAAUUUGGAAAAAAAAUACUACUGAAUGGUAAAAAAAAAGAGGAACAUGUUGUUCCUGUCCAUUCCUUUUCUAAAAAGUGGUCACCAAUCGGACCCUUUAUUGUGAUUUACUAACCUUUUCAGCGGUAAAAUAUUAUCGUUACACUUUCACAAAUAAUUUGCUAGUAACGUUAAGUGUUAGUGACUUAUAUGAGAUUGUUCAA
rnacentral:sRNA from 1 species